UUUUUUUUUUUUUUUUUAAUACUAGCAACUUUCAUUCUUUGGAACUUGUGCUGAAAAAAAGAAGAGUCAGCAAAUACUACUGAAAGUGCAAUAUUCGAUUAUCACUGCGAGCUGAUUGACAUGGAGAACAUGCUUACCUUGUCAUCAGAUCCUCAACCCACUCCUGCAGCCCCUCCUUCACUUUCUUUACCUUUAUCUUCAUCAUCUACCUCAUCCUGGACAAAAAAACAAAAGAGGACCCCCACAUAUCAGAGAUCUAUGAGCUUUGAUCCAAACCUUCUCCACAACAAUGGACACAACGGGUACCCCAAUGGUACUUCUGCAGCACUCCGUGAAACUGGGGUUAUUGAAAAACUGCUGACCUC
rnacentral:lncRNA from 1 species